rnacentral:rRNA from 1 species
CGGGGUGAGUAAUGUCUGGGAAACUGCCUGAUGGAGGGGGAUAACUACUGGAAACGGGGGCUAAUACCGCAUAACGUCGCAAGACCAAAGAGGGGGACCUUCGGGCCUCUUGCCAUCGGAUGUGCCCAGAUGGGAUUAGCUAGUAGGUGGGGUAACGGCUCACCUAGGCGACGAUCCCUAGCUGGUCUGAGAGGAUGACCAGCCACACUGGAACUGAGACACGGUCCAG